GGACACCCCUGGUCUAGGGGUAUGAUUCUCGCUAAGGGUGCGAGAGGUCCCGGGUUCAAAUCCCAGACGAGCCCA
rnacentral:tRNA from 1 species